UUAGCAUAUCAAUAAGCGGAGGAAAAGAAACCAACAGGGAUUGCCCCAGUAACGGCGAGUGAAGCGGCAACAGCUCAAAUUUGAAAUCUGGCUUCGGCCCGAGUUGUAAUUUGCAGAGGAUGCUUUUGGUGCGGUGCCUUCCGAGUUCCCUGGAACGGGACGCCACAGAGGGUGAGAGCCCCGUAUGGUCGGACACCAAUCCUGUGUAAAGCUCCUUCGACGAGUCGAGUAGUUUGGGAAUGCUGCUCUAAAUGGGAGGUAAAUCUCUUCUAAAGCUAAAUACCGGCCAGAGACCGAUAGCGCACAAGUAGAGUGAUCGAAAGAUGAAAAGCACCUUGAAAAGGGGGUUAAACAGUACGUGAAAUUGUUGAAAGGGAAGCACUUGUGACCAGACUUGGGCCGGGCGGCUCAUCAGGGGUUCUCCCCUGUGCAUUCCGCCCGGUACAGGCCAGCAUCGGUUCUUACCGGGGGAUAAGAACGGCAGGAACGUGGCUCCCUCUCGGGGGAGUGUUAUAGCCUGCCGUACGAUACCCUGGCGGGGACCGAGGUUCGCGCUUCCGCAAGGAUGCUGGCGUAAUGGUUACUAGUGACCCGUCUUGAAACACGGACCAAGGAGUCGUCCAUUAGAGCGAGCGUUUGGGUGUAAAACCCGCACGCGUAAUGAAAGUGAAAUUAGGUGAGAGCUUCGGCGCAUCAUCGACCGAUCCUGAUGUUCUCGGAUGGAUUUGAGUAAGAGUUUUAACGGACGGACCCGAAAGACAGUGAACUAUGCUUGUAUAGGGUGAAGCCAGAGGAAACUCUGGUGGAGGCUCGCAGCGGUUCUGACGUGCAAAUCGAUCGUCAAAUAUGAGCAUGGGGGCGAAAGACUAAUCGAACUGUCUAGUAGCUGGUUACCGCCGAA
rnacentral:rRNA from 1 species